AACGAACGCUGGCGGCAGGCUUAACACAUGCAAGUCGAACGCAUCGCAAGGUGAGUGGCAGACGGGUGAGUAACGCGUGGGAACAUACCCUUUUCUACGGAAUAGCUCUGGGAAACUGGAAUUAAUACCGUAUACGCCCUACGGGGGAAAGAUUUAUCGGGGAAGGAUUGGCCCGCGUUGGAUUAGCCAGUCGGUGGGGUAAAGGCCUACCAAUGCGACGAUCAAUAGUUGGUCUGAGAGGAUGAACAGCCACAUUGGGACUAAGACACGGCCCAAACGCCUACGGGAGACAGCAGUGGGGAAUAUUGGACAAUGGGCGCAAGCCUGAUCCAGCCGUGCCGCGUGAGUGAUGAAGGCCUUAGGGUUGUAAAGCUCUUUCACCGAUGAAGAUAAUGACGGUAGUCGGAGAAGAAGCCCCGGCUAACUUCGUGCCAGCCGCCGCCGUAA
rnacentral:rRNA from 1 species